UGGGGAAUUUUGGACAAUGGGCGAAAGCCUGAUCCAGCCAUGCCGCGUGAGUGAAGAAGGCCUUCGGGUUGUAAAGCUCUUUUAGUCGGAAAGAAAGAGUUGCAAUGAAUAAUUGUGAUUUAUGACGGUACCGACAGAAAAAGCACCGGCUAACUACGUGCCAGCAGCCGCGGUAAUACGUAGGGUGCGAGCGUUAAUCGGAAUUACUGGGCGUAAAGGGUGCGCAGGCGGUCUUGCAAGUCAGAUGUGAAAGCCCCGGGCUUAACCUGGGAAUUGCGUUUGAAACUACAAGGCUAGAGUGCAGCAGAGGGGAGUGGAAUUCCAUGUGGAGCAGUGAAAUGCGUAGAGAUGUGGAAGAACACCGAUGGCGAAGGCAGCUCCCUGGGUUGACACUGACGCUCAUGCACGAAAGCGUGGGGAGCAAACA
rnacentral:rRNA from 1 species